UCGGAUCGCUGCUGCCGGGAACUGUCCCGAUGACUUUUGUGGCGUGUCGCUAGCGAAAUUAAGCUCAGCUGUAGGUGUACUGUCAAUGUCGGCUGGUAGAGGAAGUCGAGAUCUAAGAUGGGACUGUCGUGCUACCAGAUUCUACUAGCUGUAGGAAUGCUUGUUACAGGAAGCAUCAAUACUCUUAGCAAGAAAGCCCAGAAUGACUGUCAUGUGAAGGGAGUAGCCAUUCCCCAAGGGCCGAAUGGAACAAAGACUGCAACAGAGCAUGAAUUUGAUCAUCCCUGGUUUCAAACCAUCAUCAUGUUCAUGGGGGAAAGCUUGUGCUUGUUGGGAUUGCUGAUUGCCAGACGUCACGAAAGAGAAGCAUUUAGAAGACAGCUCAGGGAGACCCAUUUUCAAGAUGCACCACCUGCUGGUGUCAUGCUGAAACAACCAAGAAUCUUUCAACCCAUCAUCGUUUUACCGACCCUCUGUGACCUUCUUGGGACGACACUAGCUGGUAUAGGUCUCCUCUACGUCUCGGCAUCGGUGUGGCAAAUGCUCCGAGGUUCCAUCAUCAUCUUCACUGGAAUACUCUCGAAAAUCUUCUUGAAAAGACAGCUAAAGUGGUUUCACUGGACAGGAAUGAGUGUUACAGUGUUUGGACUAGUGUUAGUUGGCAUGUCAACAAUAUUUGCAGAGGAAGGAACUUCAGAAGUAGGUCAAACUGUCUUAGGAAUCUUGUUAAUAUUAGGAGGUCAAGUGAUGAAUGCUGUUCAGAUGAUUAUUGAAGAAAUCUUUCUUAAAAAGAGAGCUUAUCCUCCACUACAGGUGGUAGGAAUGGAGGGCAUAUUUGGAUUCUUCAUCUUGGGAUUGAUUGUUCUUCCUAUAUUAUACUUCAUCCCUGAUGAGAAUGCAUACACGGGUCGUUACGAGGACAGCAUAGAUGCUAUGCUUCAAAUUGGCAACAGUCCGAGGCUGCUGGCUUUCUGUCUACUUUAUCUUCUUUCCAUUUCAGGAUACAACUACUUUGGACUUUCUGUUACAAAAUCACUAACAGCUGUCCACCGAACCUUAAUAGAUGCUUGUAGGACCAUUGUUGUGUGGAUAGUGGGUCUUGUUAUAUACUAUGCAUUUGAUCCCUCGUUUGGCGAACCUUUUGAUGUUACGUAUGGAAUUCUUAAAAUUGAUGGAUUCAUGUUUCUUCUGAUCGGGACUGCGCUCUACAACAACCUCUUCGACUUGUCCUUCCUGCCGUGUCAGUGUUUCCAUGACGAUGGUUCAUCAGACUCACCGAGAGAAGAGAGGGUCGCCGAUUCUCAGGUUACCGGAAGCAUCCAAGAUGCGGCCAUACCAGACUAUGGUGAUGACUAUGAUGAUGAGCAUUCACCGUUGAUUAAUUCUAACAAAAACAGAUAGGAUUGCGAAGAUUUGUUGUUUCUAUUUCUACUCACAGGGUAAAGUACGGUUACAAAAGUAGCAUCUCUUUGACCAGGAGAAAUUUAAUUUUGAAGAGAAGAAUACUUAUAGGAUAUGUCUUUCAAGAUCUGUGCCCCUUUGCAUAAAAGUUACUCUCAUGGUAACUUUGCCAUCCAAUGGUAACUACCAUGGUAAUGAUGAUCAACAGCCAAUCAAAAUCAAGGAUUAAAUGCGAUUUACCAUUGAAUGGCAAAGUUACCUGCAAUAAAUGUUUGAAUUAAAGUUAAUAUUCUAUUCAUGAAAAUUUGACUAAUGCAGACUUUACUUUAAUUGCACAUGUAUACAAUGUCUGUCAGACAUCAUUAAUGUAGGAACCUCACCCUGAAAAUGUUACAUCAAAUUUCUUUCAGUAGAAUGAAAUGAAGGGGAUGAAGACUGAGCAUGUUGGUCAAGUGAUUACGUGCCGGCCUCAUGAACUCAAGGUCAUGUGUUCAAUCCCCUGGUUGAGUUAUACCAAAGACUUUUAAAAAUUUGACCUUCUGCCUUCUAGCUUGGUGCUUAUUGUUUAUUUGAGAGGGAACAUACAUGUAUGUUAUGCAGGGUCUGCUGGUAGAACAGUUUCUUAACCGAAGUAACUAGCCUGGGUAAAUAAAAGGUUAUAUUAUUAUUUCGUUAUUUCAGGAAAAAAUAAGUGAACAUUUUGAUAAUGGACACAUCUUUGUCGCAUUGCCAAUGUGAGGAUCUCCAUAGCAUUAGUGAUCGCAAUAUUCAAAUGCUCAUAACUUUCUCAUUGUUUGUCUGAUUUUUCUCAAACUUUCGUUUAUGUGUUUCUUUGGUUUUUCUAUUUUCACACAAGCUAUCUUAUUCCAAAGGUUUCAUUCUCCUUUAAACAAAAAUUGAUCUUUCAAAAUUCUUGGGAGGCUGAGUUUGGGAAAGAGGAGCUGAUCUGAUUUGUUUUUCUUGCCAAAUUUUGUGAUCAAUGCUAUGAAACUAUCAAUGAAUAUAUUUUCUAUUUCUGAUUUAGAUUUUAAUAAAUCAAAAGCAUAGGAGUGUUUUAGUUCUUGGUAGCAACGUAAUAAGGUACAUGUAUAUGAUAUAAUGGGGUUGUAUAGAAUGCACAAAAAAUUCUUUGGAGGCUGAGUUUGGGAAAGAGUGGCUUAUGUGAUUUUUUUUUCUUGCCAAAAUAUGUGAUCAACGCCAUGAAACUAUCAAUGAAUAUUAUAUUUUCUAUAAACUUUUAUGAUCAAUAUGCAAUAUGCAGACGGGAGAGAGGAUUUAUCUGAAGAAGUACAAAAUGUUAAUUUCGGGCAAGUUGAAAUAGGUGUGAUGUCGGGUGCUAAUUUGAUUUGGCAAUAGUUGAAUCAAAUUUGUGUCAAAAGCACAGGAGCAUUUAUUUUCUUGGUAGCAACGUAACGAGGUAUGUGCAUAUAGAACAAGGUAAAGUCCUCAUGAAUAAAAAGGAGGAGUCAUAUAUCUGAGUAAAUUACAUGUACAUGUCAAUUUUAUCGUUGAAACAUCUUUGGCCCACCCCCCCCCCCCCCACCCUGGAACCCCUAAUGAAAGGGCAGGACUAUGACUGACGGUUACACCAUGCCGAUACCAAAGUUGGAAAGUUAACCCAUUACAGUCUCACCUUGUAAUUUAAUGUCUCAAAUAUCAACAUUUACAUGAAGAUAUGACAAUAAAAUGAAUGAGACAAAAUAAUUAACAUCAUGAAAUAGGAAAUUGAAUAUAUGAUUAAUUUUUUUGUAAUUUUAUAACAAAAUUCAUUGCAAUAUGUGGUAAGUUAAAAAAAGCAUUCAUUACAUUGUUUUAGAAAAGAGAAUGUCAUUUUUGGUCUUAUGAAAGUUACAAAUACCUGAAUUACUGCAGAUGAAUAUAAAUCAUGCUAUUUAUAACUAAUUUGAAUGUAUUAAUGUAUAUAUUUUGUUAUGAUUUUUAUGUUUUUUUUGUAUUACUGAUAGUACAUUGUAACAAAAUGUUAUGCAUAUGAAUGAAGUUCUGAAUAAAAUAACAAAUCACACAC